rnacentral:rRNA from 1 species
AGCGAACGCUGGCGGCGUGCUUAACACAUGCAAGUCGAACGUGAAAUGUAGCAAUACAGAGUAAAGUGGCGUACGGGUGAGUAACACGUGGGUAAUCUACCAAAGAGCCUGGAAUAACCGACCGAAAGGUUGGCUAAUACUGGAUAGUUCAAAUGAAAUAUAAUGUUUCGAUUGGGAAAGGGAGCGAGCAAUCGCCUUCACUUUUUGAUGAGCCCGCGUCUGAUUAGCUAGUUGGUAGGGUAAUGGCCUACCAAGGCGACGAUCAGUAGCUGGUCUGGGAGGAUGAUCAGCCACACUGGAACUGAAACACGGGCCAGACUCCUACGGGAGGCAGCAGUGGGGAAUCUUGCGCAAUGGACGAAAGUCUGACGCAGCCACGCCGCGUGAGUGAAGAAGGCCUUCGGGUUGUAAAGCUCUGUCGGAAGGGACAAAAACGUUUAAGGUUAAUAGCCUUAGAUCUUGAUGGUACCUUCAAAGGAAGCACCGGCUAACUUUGUGCCAGCCGCCGCCGUAA